rnacentral:rRNA from 1 species
GACGAACGCUGGCGGCGUGCCUAAUACAUGCAAGUCGUGCGGACCUUGUUGAAAGCUUGCUUUUAAAAGGUUAGCGGCGGACGGGUGAGUAACACGUGGGCAACCUGCCUGUAAGACUGGGAUAACGCCGGGAAACCGGGGCUAAUACCAGAUCGUUUUUUCCUCCGCAUGGAGGAAAAAGGAAAGGCGGCUUCGGCUGCCACUUACAGAUGGGCCCGCGGCGCAUUAGCUAGUUGGCGGGGUAAUGGCCCACCAAGGCAACGAUGCGUAGCCGACCUGAGAGGGUGAUCGGCCACAUUGGGACUGAGACACGGCCCAAACUCCUACGGGAGGCAGCAGUAGGGAAUCUUCCGCAAUGGACGAAAGUCUGACGGAGCAACGCCGCGGGAGUGAAGAAGGCCUUCGGGUCGUAAAACUCUGUUGCCGGGGAAGAACAAGUGCCGUUCGAACAGGGCGGCGCCUUGACGGUACCCGGACAGAAAGCCACGGCUAACUACGUG